GGUCUUGUGGCGUAGUUGGUUAUCGCAUCUCGUUUACACCGAGAAGGUCCCCGGUUCGAGCCCGGGCGGGAUCA
rnacentral:tRNA from 3 species